rnacentral:lncRNA from 1 species
CGUGCGGAGGGCCGGUGCCAGCACCUCCAGCUCCGGGACAGCAGCGGGAGCCAAGCCCGAGCCGCAGGCGUCGUCGCCAUGCGCUGGUUCCGGGCGCUGUUGAAGAAUGCGUCCCUGGCAGGGGCGCCCAAGUACAUCGAGCACUUCAGCAAGUUCUCCCCGUCCCCGCUGUCCAUGAAGCAGUUUCUAGACUUCGGAUCCAGCAAUGCCUGCGAGAAAACUUCAUUCACCUUCCUCCGGCAGGAGCUGCCCGUGCGCCUGGCCAACAUCAUGAAAGAGAUCAACCUGCUUCCUGACCGGGUGCUGAGCACCCCCUCAGUGCAACUGGUGCAGAGCUGGUAUGUCCAGAGUCUGCUGGACAUCAUGGAAUUCCUGGACAAGGACCCCGAGGACCACCGGACCCUAAGCCAGUUCACUGAUGCCCUGGUCACCAUCCGGAACCGGCACAAUGACGUAGUGCCCACCAUGGCACAGGGAGUGUUGGAGUACAAGGACACCUAUGGUGAUGACCCAGUCUCCAACCAGAACAUCCAGUACUUUUUGGACCGCUUCUACCUCAGCCGCAUCUCUAUCCGCAUGCUCAUUAACCAGCACAAUGCCUAUGACAUGGCUAAGCUCCUGUGUGACAAGUAUUACAUGGCUUCCCCUGACCUGGA